GGAAGUAAAAGUCGUAACAAGGUUUCCGUAGGUGAACCUGCGGAAGGAUCAUUAAUCCAGGCGCAAGCCCCCUCUCGGGGAGGUGAGCGCCGCCUUCUUAUCAACCCUUUGCCUAUGUGUACCCCUAUCGCUUCCUCGGCAGGCUUGCCUGCCGCUAGGAACCAACCAAACCCUUUGCAUUAUACAUGAAAACUUCUGAUACAAACCUAAAUUAUUACAACUUUUAACAAUGGAUCUCUUGGUUCUGGCAUCGAUGAAGAACGCAGCGAAAUGCGAUAAGUAGUGUGAAUUGCAGAAUUCAGUGAAUCAUCGAAUCUUUGAACGCACAUUGCGCCCCUCGGUAUUCCGUGGGGCAUGCCUGUUCGAGCGUCAUUUACACCCUCAAGCUUUGCUUGGUGUUGGGCGUCUGUCCCGCUCUCGAAGCGCGGACUCGCCUCAAAGUCAUUGGCGGCGGUCGUGCCGGCUCCUCGCGCAGCACAUUUGCGCUUCUCGGAGGCCCGGCGGAUCAGCGUCCAUCAAGCCACUUUUACGACUUGACCUCGGAUCAGGUAGGGAUACCCGCUGAACUUAAGCAUAUCAAUAAGCGGAGGA
rnacentral:rRNA from 1 species